UUCAUAAUCGUUUAACUCAAUUUAAUAAAAUUUUAAAUCACACCUUUUUAAAAAAACUUUCCUAAUAUAUAAAGGCAAAGUUUAUUAUGUUACUGUCCAUUAAAUAAUUUUAUAUUUUUCAAACUUAAUUCGCAAAUUCAACUUAUUUUCUCGAAAGUGAAAAUUAGGAAUAUAUAUACGCAACAUGUCUAAAGACGUUGGCGCUAAAAAGGAACUUGGAGCUCAGCCGAAAAAAGACGCAGCAAAAAUAGAUGACAAAAACAAAAACGCGAAAGAUGUGCAGAAGCCAGCAGGAUCCGCGGCCGCCAAAGCAAAGCCGAAAUGAAGCGUUGGGUGAAGAAUUCACAAAUUUUUGCUUAGUUAAAUUAUUAAUGUUAUACUAAUUUAUUAUUUAAAUUCUUUAAUUUAUGUGGAACGCAUUAUAAAAACUUGAAUUUAAUAAAUACUUAUUCGUAGAAA